rnacentral:rRNA from 1 species
CCGUUGCCGGCGACCGGCGCACGGGUGAGUAACACAUAUGCAACCUGCCCGUGGCAGGGGGAUAAGCGGGGGAAACCCCGUCUAAUACCGCGUAACGCGGCCUAGGGACAUCCCAAGGCCGCCAAAGGGAGCAAUCCCGGCCACGGAUGGGCAUGCGGCGCAUUAGCUAGUCGGCGGGGUAACGGCCCACCGAGGCGACGAUGCGUAGGGGUUCUGAGAGGAAGGCCCCCCACACUGGUACUGAGACACGGCCCAAACUCCUACGGAAGGCAGCAG